CAGUGUUUGGUUUGGCUUCAGAAAUUCAACCCAGCGUUCUUCUGAGAGCUUGCAGGCCUCGAGUGUAGCUGGGCUGGUGUCUCCCCUGGUCUGAGACCAGGUCUGCAAUGACGCUUAUACCGCCUGAGGCGCCCAGGGGACGCAGGGGAGGGCUUGGGCGCCGCCAGCUCGGCCCAGGACGCCCAGGACCCCACCGCCUCGUUACCUGGAACCCUGGCGACUGCGUAAAAUAAGGGCUGAGCAAGGCAGGAGGAUGAUCCGCCAUCAUCUGGAAGCCCCUUGACAGGACAGCAUCUUCCGAUUUGUCAGGGUUCACAACUCUCCUCCUGUCUUCAUCAACCCACUGGAUGGAAAAUCCAAACCAGCCUCCCCGGGGUGCAGGCUGCUCGGUGCUGCCUUCCUGGGAUUCCUCCCCUGUGGGUUUUAUCAGGUGGAAAUGAGCAAAAGGACCGUGCAAACGACGACCUGCUUCUCCCCUUUGCUUUGCCUCUUUAUUCUGCUCCAGGCUCUCUUGGGAAAAUGCUCAUUUCUGUGAGAACGGGCCUUCCCAGAGCCCAAACGCGGGGAGGAGGGAAACCCGGUAGGAGGAAAGAAAAUGGGUGGCUUUUGUUCUGGAAAGGAGCCUUUUCAGGAGGGAGAGCCUGCUUUGUGGGUGGCUGGGCAGGAAGGGAGCUGUGAGGUCAAAUCCUUGCUCCACAGGGUCUCCGGAUGUUCUCAAUUCAGAGGCAGCACAUCCCUCCGGGGAACCUGGGUCACCCGCGGCUGGUCCCACCUGCACACCCCCUGCUGUGAACCCCAGCUGAGAAGCCCCUCAGCCCUGCUUGGAUCCCCUGAGCCAGCCUGCCCUCCGGGGCGAUGCCAGCAUCCCCGAGUGAUGACACGACGACGGAGAGCUACGGCUGCUGCUGCGAGGAUCCUCCACGUGUCAAACCCGCCCCGCCCUCUGAAGCCCACGUGGCAGCAGGAUCACCCCCCCUCCCCCCCACGAAGGCUCCAGGGCAGGAUUCCCUUGCUCGUCUUUGGCUUCUGCCAGCAAUCCACAGCAUCCUCGGCUGCAUCACUGGCUGUCCUCUCUCUGGGUCCCUGUGCCGUCAUCACACGGUCUUCUUGCAGAUUUGCCAGUCAUUGAUUUCAGAGCCACUCCUAAUUCAGCAGGAUCUCGACUUGAUUUAAUACCAUCCACAGAGACCCUGUUUGCAAAUAAGAUCACGCUCACAGGUCUGGAUGGGCAUGGUUGGGGGGGGGGGUGGAUACUAUUCAGCCCCAUAGACUCCGCCUGGGCCUAUACUGGGUUGUACUUUCUGUGCUCCCCCCCAUCCUCGGAGCAACCUGCGGCCACAGGCACAGCUAACAUUCCCACGGUGCCGAUGAGAGAGUAGGGGCUCAGAGCGGUUCAGUGGCAGGUGUCCGAGGUCACGCAGUUGGAGCAACAGUGAUGCUGUGAUUGGAACUCAGGGCAGCCUGACCCUGGAGCUGUCUGGCUCUGUGGAAACCUCUUGAAUGUCUGGCCCUCCAAGCACUGAACCCAAGAGCAGCCCAAGUGAGAAUCCUCUGGUUCACAAGCUCAUUUCUUUGGGCCACUUGUUUCUAGAGCCUCUUACUAAGCAGUUGGCCCUGACCAGCCCAUGUUGGGGGCACAAGGGAUGAAAAGUUUCUCUGGGCAAAUUUGUGGAGACAGCACAGAGUGGCGGGUGCUAGGAGGGCCUGCUAGGGGCUAUGACAUCUCCUCUGGGGUGAAGCGAUGUCCUGGAACAAGAUAGAGGUGGUGGCUGCACAACCUUGAAUGUGCUAACCUCACGGAAUUGUGCACUUUACCACACUUAAUUUUAUGUGACUUUUACCCAGGAUUUUUUUUCUGUCUUCAUAUUUUUCCUUUAUCUAAAAAUCUCACCACUAGGAGCACCUGGGUGGCUCAGUGGUUGAGCAUCUGCCUUUGGCUCAGGGUGUGAUCCCAGGGUCCUGGGAUUGAGUCCUGCUUCGGGCUCCUCGCGGAAGCCUGCUUCUCCCUCUGCCUGUGUCUUUGCCUCUGUGUCUCUUAUGAUUAAAUAAAUAAAAUCUUUAUAAGAAGUAAAAUAAAAUC
rnacentral:lncRNA from 1 species